rnacentral:rRNA from 1 species
ACUCCUAGCGGGAGGCAGCAGUGGGGAAUAUUGCACAAUGGGGGAAACCCUGAUGCAGCCAUGCCGCGUGUGUGAAGAAGGCCUUCGGGUUGUAAAGCACUUUCAGUAGGGAGGAAGGUAGUGUAGUUAACACCUGCACUAUUUGACGUUACCUACAGAAGUAAGCACCGGCUAACAUUCCCGNGUCCAGCAGCCGCGGUAAUACGGAGGGGUGCGAGC